AGUGGAUGGGGAGCAACCUAGUUGUGCGUGUGUAAAGGUAGUGCCAAGAAAAGCGGUGAUCAUGAUGAAAAUCAAUUCCCAGUACCCGAAACCGACACAGGUGGGCAAGUAGAGAAUACUAAGGGGCGCGAGGUAACUCUCUCCAAGGAACUCGGCAAAAUGACCCCGUAACUUAGGGAGAAGGGGUGCCACCGAGAGGUGGUCGCAGUGAAGAGGCCCAGGCGACUGUUUAGCAAAAACAUAGGUCUCUGCAAACUCGAAAGAGGAGGUAUAGGGGCUGACGCCUGCCCAGUGCCGGAAGGUUAAAGAAGUUGGUCAGUCUUAGGAUGAAGCUAGCGACUGAAGCCCCGGUGAACGGCGGCCGUAACUAUAACGGUCCUAAGGUAGCGAAAUUCCUUGUCGGGUAAGUUCCGACCCGCACGAAAGGCGUAACGAUCUGGGCGCUGUCUCGGAGAGAGGCUCGGCGAAAUAGGAUUGUCUGUGAAGAUACGGACUACCUGCUUUUGGACAGAAAGACCCUAUGAAGCUUUACUAUAGCUUGGAAUUGUGUUCGGGCUUCCUGUGCGCAGGAUAGGUGGGAGGCGAAGAAGGUAUUCUUGUGGGGAUACUGGAGCCAACGGUGAGAUACCACUCUCAGGAGGCUAGAAUUCUAACUUAAUUAAGGACAGUUUCAGGUGGGUAGUUUGACUGGGGCGGUCGCCUCCAAAAAGGUAACGGAGGCGUACAAAGGUUCCCUCAGACUGGUUGGAAAUCAGUCGCAGAGUGCAAAGGCAGAAGGGAGCUUGACUGCGAGAAGUACAGUUCGAGCAGGGUGGAAACACGGUCUUAGUGAUCCGACGGUGCUGUGUGGAAGGGCCGUCGCUCAACGGAUAAAAGUUACUCUAGGAUAACAGGCUGAUCUCCCCCAAGAGUUCACAUCGACGGGGAGGUUUGGCACCUCGAUGUCGGCUCAUCGCAACCUGGGGCGGAAGUACGUCCCAAGGGUUGGGCUGUUCGCCCAUUAAAGCGGUACGUGAGCUGGGUUCAGAACGUCGUGAGACAGUUCGGUCCAUAUCCGAUGUAGGCGUGAGAAUAUUGAGAGGAGCCUUCCUUAGUACGAGAGGACCGGGAAGGACGCACCGCUGGUGUACCUGUUAUGAUGCCAAUUGUAAACGCAGGGUAGCCAAGUGCGGAGAGGAUAACCGCUGAAAGCAUCUAAGUGGGAAGCCCACCUCAAGAUGAGUAUUCUGGUGUAAGGUCACGGGAAGACGACCCGUAAAUAGGCACGAGGUGGAAGUGCAGAGAUGUAUGAAGCCGAAGUGUACUAAUAGACCGUCGGCUUGAC
rnacentral:rRNA from 1 species